UAAUGCCUAGGAAUCUGCCUGGUAGUGGGGGACAACAUUUCGAAAGGAACGCUAAUACCGCAUACGUCCUACGGGAGAAAGCAGGGGACCUUCGGGCCUUGCGCUAUCAGAUGAGCCUAGGUCGGAUUAGCUAGUUGGUGAGGUAAUGGCUCACCAAGGCGACGAUCCGUAACUGGUCUGAGAGGAUGAUCAGUCACACUGGAACUGAGACACGGUCCAG
rnacentral:rRNA from 1 species